AUAUUGGAAGCUUGCUUCCGAUAGGCGUCGACCGGCGCACGGGUGAGUAACGCGUAUCCAACCUGCCCAUCACUUGGGGAUAACCUUGCGAAAGUAAGACUAAUACCCAAUGACGUCUCUAGAAGACAUCUGAAAGAGAUUAAAGAUUUAUCGGUGAUGGAUGGGGAUGCGUCUGAUUAGCUUGUUGGCGGGGUAACGGCCCACCAAGGCGACGAUCAGUAGGGGUUCUGAGAGGAAGGUCCCCCACAUUGGAACUGAGACACGGUCCAAACUCCUACGGGAGGCAGCAGUGAGGAAUAUUGGUCAAUGGGCGAGAGCCUGAACCAGCCAAGUAGCGUGCAGGAUGACGGCCCUAUGGGUUGUAAACUGCUUUUAUAAGGGAAUAAAGUGAGAGUCGUGACUCUUUUUGCAUGUACCUUAUGAAUAAAGACAGGCUAAUUCCGUGCCAGCAGCCGCGGUAAUACGGAAGGUCCGGGCGUUAUCCGGAUUUAUUGGGUUUAAAGGGAGCGUAGGCCGGAGAUUAAGCGUGUUGUGAAAUGUAGACGCUCAACGUCUGCACUGCAGCGCGAACUGGUUUCCUUGAGUACGCACAAAGUGGGCGGAAUUCGUGGUGUAGCGGUGAAAUGCUUAGAUAUCACGAAGAACUCCGAUUGCGAAGGCAGCUCACUGGAGCGCAACUGACGCUGAAGCUCGAAAGUGCGGGUAUCGAACAGGAUUAGAUACCCUGGUAGUCCGCACGGUAAACGAUGGAUGCCCGCUGUUGGUCUGAAUAGGUCAGCGGCC
rnacentral:rRNA from 1 species